rnacentral:misc_RNA from 1 species
UUUCCGUAGGUGAACCUGCGGAAGGAUCAUUAAUAAAUGGCUCGAUUUUAGAGCAUUAAUAAUCAUCCUACCCUUGUGAAUUUGUUGUUUGAAAUAAUUUUUUUUAAAAUUAUGAUGUCUUUCCCUGUUGAAUUGGUUGGUCGUAAGACUAAGUGAUUCUCAGGGGAUAGUCAAUAAUUUUUAAAAAGACCUUUUUUUAAAUUAACUUUUUGUAUUCAUUUGUCUAAAAUUAUUUUAUAAUAUAAAAACAACUUUUGACAAUGGAUCUCUUGGUUCUCGCAACGAUGAAGAACGCAGCAAAAUGCGAUAAGUAGUGUGAAUUGCAGAAUACGUGAAUCAUCGAAUCUUCGAACGCAUAUUGCACUUUUUAGUUUACUAAAAAAGUAUGUCUGUUUGAGUAUCAGUAAAAUAUUCUCAUAAAAACAUUGUUUUAUGGUUAUGAGUGUUUUACAACGAUACAAGCUGUUUCACUUUAAAUUUUUUUAAAAUUUGAAUUUUUUCUAAUUUUAAAAUAAAUUGGGUAAAAUUUCCCGUAAAAAGGAAUAACCUAAACAAUUUUAAUUUUAAUAAUUAGAAUUCAAAUAUCAAAAAGGAAUUUAUUCAAAAUAACUUGAUCUCAAUCAGAUAAGAGUACCCGCUGAACUUAAGCAUAUCAAUAAGCGGAGGAAAAGAAACUAACAAGGAUUCCCUUAGUAACGCGAGUGAAGCGGGAAGAGCUCAAAUUUGAAAUCUUCAAGGUUUUACCUUGACGAAUUGUAGUUUAAAGAAGUGUUUCUGUUGAAGUUUUGGUAAAAGUUCUUGGAAUAGGACAUCAUAGAGGGUGAGAAUCCCGUAUUUGACCAUUAUUUUCAGCUGUGUGAUACACUUUCGAAGAGUCGGAUUGUUUGGGAAUGCAGUCCAAAAUGGUGGUAAAUUUCAUCUAAAGCUAAAUAUUGACGAGAGACCGAUAGCGAACAAGUACCGUGAGGGAAAGAUGAAAAGAACUUUGAAAAGAGAGUUAAACAGUACGUGAAAUUGUCAAAAGGGAAGCGUUUGACACCAGUGUUGUUUUCUCGAAAAUCAAUUAAAAAAAGUUGGAUUUUGUGUUGUAUUGACCUUAACAGCUUUCUGCACUCUUUUCCUGCUUUUUUUAAUGCACUUUUCGUUUAACAGGUCAACAUCAGUUCUUUGUUGUAAAAGGGUCAUUGGAAGGUGGCUUUCUUUUCGGAGAAAGUGUUUAUAGCCUUUGAUCUCUGCAAUCGGAGAGACUGAGGUCUGCAGCGUAGAUCCUUCGGGUUAGAUACAUUUGUGCUAAGUUAUAACUUUUCAUAGACAACUUGUUGACUAUGUUUAGUCAUGUAGCUUACUCGCUUAUGCUAUUUUACCUACGCUUAGGAUGUUG